AUUCCAGCUCCAAUAGCGUAUAUUAAAGUUGUUGCAGUUAAAAAGCUCGUAGUUGAACUUCUGGCUAUUCUUCCAGCUGGCUUCGGUCGCUGUAAGAGUGGUCAUCCGCUUGGGGACUACGUUCGAACUUCACUGUUCGGCGUAAGGAACAGGCAUUUUACUUAGAAAAAAUUAGAGUGUUCAAGGCAGGCUAUCGCCCUGAAUACACAAGCUUGGAAUAAUGAAAUAGGACUAUUUCCAUUUUAUUGGUUAUUGGAAUUAGUAAUGAUUAAUAGGGACAGUUGGGGACAUUAGUAUUUAAUUGUCAGAGGUGAAAUUCUUGGAUUUAUUAAAGACUAACUUAUGCGAAAGCAUUCACCAAGGAUGUCUUCAUCA
rnacentral:rRNA from 1 species